rnacentral:rRNA from 1 species
UACAGAGGGUGCGAGCGUUAAUCGGAAUUACUGGGCGUAAAGGGCGCGUAGGCGGCCUGCUGAAGUACGAACGUGAAAUCCCCGGGCUCAACCCGGGAACUGCGUCCGAUACUGGCAGGCUUGAAUCCGGGAGAGGGAUGUGGAAUUCCAGGGUGUAGCGGUGAAAUGCGUAGAUAUCUGGAGGAACACCGGUGGCGAAGGGCGGCAUCCUGGAGCCGGUAUUGACGCUGAGUGCGCGAAAGCCAGGGGAGCAAAGCGGGG